GUCUAAUCAGGCUCUGAUUGGUUACAGGUUGUCCGCUACACACAACAUAUAAAUACUCUCAAGUCUUUUCUCCUCACUUCACCAGCACUGUUCAUUGGAUAUCAUGGCUGCUAGUACUGGCUCAGGGUGCCUCCUUGCUUUGUUGAGCUGUUCAUUGCUCUCCUUAUCAACAAGUUUAUAGGACUGUCUUUCUCCACCCUCUUCGAGCACGGCACUAGUCGGAGCGACACCGACAAGCAUAUGCUGCCCCCCUCUC